GAUGAACGCUGGCGGCGUGCCUAAUACAUGCAAGUCGAGCGAACAGACGAGGAGCUUGCUCCUCUGACGUUAGCGGCGGACGGGUGAGUAACACGUGGAUAACCUACCUAUAAGACUGGGAUAACUUCGGGAAACCGGAGCUAAUACCGGAUAAUAUAUUGAACCGCAUGGUUCAAUAGUGAAAGACGGUUUUGCUGUCACUUAUAGAUGGAUCCGCGCCGCAUUAGCUAGUUGGUAAGGUAACGGCUUACCAAGGCAACGAUGCGUAGCCGACCUGAGAGGGGGAGCGGCCACACGGGAACGGAGACACGGUGCAGGAGCCUACGGGAGGCAGCAGUAGGGAAUCUGACGCAAUGGGCGAAAGCCUGAAGGAGCAACGUGGCGUGAGUGAAGAAGGUCUUCGGAUCGUAAAACUCUGUUAUUAGGGAAGAACAUAGGUGUAAGGAACUGUGCACAGCGUGACGGUACCAAAUCAGAAAGCCACGGCUAACUACGU
rnacentral:rRNA from 1 species